UGCACUCACUACUGCAAGUCGCUCUGGAUAAGAGCGUCUGCUAAAUGACUCAAA
rfam:Salmo salar isolate Sally breed double haploid chromosome ssa09, whole genome shotgun sequence.